UACGUAGGGCGCGAGCGUUAUCCGGAAUUAUCGGGCGUAAAGAGCUCGUAGGCGGUUUGUCGCGUCUGCUGUGAAAGCCCGGGGCUCAACCCCGGGUGUGCAGUGGGUACGGGCAGACUAGAGUGCAGUAGGGAAGACUGGAAUUGCUGGUGUAGCGGUGAAAUGCGCAGAUAUCAGGAGGAACACCAAUGGCGAAGGCGGGUCUCUGGGCUGUUACUGACGCUGAGGAGCGAAAGCAUGGGGAGCGAACAGG
rnacentral:misc_RNA from 1 species